GUGGGGAAUAUUGGACAAUGGGCGAAAGCCUGAUCCAGCAAUGCCGCGUGAGUGAUGAAGGCCUUAGGGUUGUAAAGCUCUUUUACCUGGGAUGAUAAUGACAGUACCGGGAGAAUAAGCUCCGGCUAACUCCGUGCCAGCAGCCGCGGUAAUACGGAGGGAGCUAGCGUUGUUCGGAAUUACUGGGCGUAAAGCGCACGUAGGCGGCUUUGGAAGUUAGAGGUGAAAGCCUGGAGCUUAACUCCAGAACUGCCUUUAAGACUGCAUCGCUUGAAACCAGGAGAUGUGAGUGGAAUUCCGAGUGUAGAGGUGAAAUUCGUAGAUAUUCGGAAGAAAACCAGUGGCGAAGGCGGCUCACUGGACUGAUAUUGACGCUGAGGUGCGAAAGCGUGGGGAGCAAACUGGAUUAGAAACCCUGGUAGUCC
rnacentral:rRNA from 1 species